rnacentral:lncRNA from 1 species
AGGAUGCUUUCAUUGGAUUUGGAGGAAAUGUGAUCAGGCAACAAGUCAAGGAUAACGCCAAAUGGUAUAUCACUGAUUUUGUAGAGCUGCUGGGAGAACCGGAAGAAUAACAUCCAUUGUCAUACAGCUCCAAACAACUUCAGAUGAAUUUUUACAAGUUACACAGAUUGAUACUGUUUGCUUACAAUUGCCUAUUACAACUUGCUAUAGAAAGUUGGUACAGAUGAUCUGCACUGUCAAGUAAACUACAGUUAGGAAUCCUCAAAGAUUGGUUUGUUUGUUUUUAACUGUAGUUCCAGUAUUAUAUGAUCACUAUCGAUUUCCUGGAGAGUUUUGUAAUCUGAAUUCUUUAUGUAUAUUCCUAGCUAUAUUUCAUACAAAGUGUUUUAAGAGUGGAGAGUCAAUUAAACACCUUUACUCUUAGGAAUAUAGAUUCGGCAGCCUUCAGUGAAUAUUGGUUUUUUUCCCUUUGGUAUGUCAAUAAAAGUUUAUCCAUGUGUCAG